GAGGAAUUCCUAGCUUAUGUAGCUUAUCAAAGGUUUUAAAAACUUUUAGUUACUACUCUUUACCAAUGUACCAAAACAAACAAUAUUUGGUAAUACAACAAAAGCUAAAAUAACUGGCUUGGUAAAAAGCACCUUACUAUAUAGUAACUCCAGGAUGUAAACACAACUUCUCUCAAGUGAGGCUCCAACGAGUGAGUGACGUUGCACGCCCUGGCAGUAUAACCCAUCGUUGUUUUCUUAUUAGAGUUGAAAGUUCUCCCAUCAAUGCUAGACCAAAUUCUGCAUGAACUAAAUGAUCUAAUUCUUCUUGCUUUUGUCAAAUAUCAAGAACACAACAAAGGCAGCUAAGAUUCCU